rnacentral:lncRNA from 1 species
CAACAGGAGUGGUUAUUUCAGGGCUGCAGUGUGAAGCUUGUGUGAUGUGCUGCCUGAGACAACUGCUGUUGCUGGCUAUAGACAACCCAGCUUCCUUGAUGCAGAUGCCUGGCAUUCAGAGUUCCUUGAAUGAAAGCCAUUAUCCACCUCCAGUCAGACCAUCCAGCAGAAAGAGCAAGGCAAUCUGA